UAAAAUUAAAACCCCAUAGCCUAAUCCUUACGAAAUUAGGGAAGACAACACGCAAAGAACUCGUUCCCUGUAAAUCUCUCAUAUAACCCUCAUCAAUCGUCCCUGUCAAUCUCUCCCCCUCUCUCUCAAUAUCAAGCAACAUAGACACCGGCCCUCAAUUGUUUGAGAGAGGCGUAAUUUCUGGGAAUUUUAUUCUCCAUUAUUUCAAGUUUGAUUAUUACACUGGCGAAAUCUGCACUGUAAGAGGGACGAUAAGUUUAUAGGGUUCUUGAGGUGAAGGAUGGACAAUUAAUUCUUUGCUAUUCACUAUUUACUAGAAAUUAUUAAAAUUUCA